UACGGAGGGUGCAAACGUUGCUCGGAAUUAUUGGGCGUAAAGCGCACGUAGGCGGUCUAGCAAGUCGGGUGUGAAAGCCCUCAGCUUAACUGAGGAAGUGCAUUCGAAACUACUAGGCUUGAGUACUGAAGAGGACGACGGAAUUCCCGGUGUAGAGGUGAAAUUCGUAGAUAUCAGGAGGAACACCGGUGGCGAAGGCGGAUCUCUGGGCCUUACCUGACGCUGAGGUGCGAAAGCUAGGGAGCGACGAGG
rnacentral:rRNA from 1 species